UAGCCUACGGGACGCAGCAGUGGGGAAUUGUGGACAAUGGGCGCAAGCCUGAUCCAGCUAUUCCGCGUGUGGGAUGAAGGCCCUCGGGUUGUAAACCACUCUUGUAGAGAACGAAAAGACACCUUCGAAUAAAGGGUGUUGCUGACGGUACUCUAAGAAUAAGUACCGGCUAACUACGUACCAGCAGCCGCGGUAAUACGUAGGGUGCGAGCGUUAAUCGGAAUUACUGGGCGGAAAGGGUGCGCAGGCGGUUGAGUAAGACAGA
rnacentral:rRNA from 1 species